rnacentral:lncRNA from 1 species
CAAGAGACAGAGCUAUUGAGUGGAAAUCCUAGUGGCAGAGAUGGUUGAUCUCUCUAUAAAUUGCUAGUGCAGGGAGGCCUUACAUACAUUAAAUGAUAUUGUCACUAUUGCUGAUUGCAUGCCAAAACUAAAUGGUUAGUAAAUUCCUGUUGCUAAGGACACUGCAUGCUUUAGUUACAGAACAUGAUAAAAUCAAGCUAGCACUGAAUUAGAAGUUUCCUCCCUAGUGGCUAUUUUUUAUAAUGUUAUAUAGGCUGGUGGAGAUUUGUUGAAGUCCUGAUAGGCUAUACAGUUUGAAUAUCACACUAUCAACAUGCACAAGAGGAUGUUCCUAUUGUUACAAUAGUGGUGUUUCUGUCAUGGAUGCAACCAACAGCAUUCUGAUUGGAUUUAACACCUAUUCUCUGAGCAAAAGCCUGUGGCUGAUACCAUAAACCAGGGCAUAAAGCUUUGGCUAUGAAGAUCAUAGGCCCAAGAAGCAAGGCUGUUGAUAGUGCUUUGCUAAAUGUAUGUAAUUUGGUUUCUAAAUAUUUGCUUAUUCUCAUGAAUUACUGUUGCUGCCAAUCCUUUCUGUAGAAGGAAACUGUGUGUGUGUGUGUGUGAUGGACAUAGUUUGAUACAGAGAAUUAUAACUUGUCAAGUUGCUGAGAAUAAAUGAUAUCUACUAUGUUAAAUCAGCUCAAUACUCAACCAAAUAUGGGAGAAAGUGAUCAGUUGUCUAUAUAGCUCCUCCGGGGAUUAGGAAACAAUGAAUGUGGAAGAAUGUGUCAAAAGAAUCUAAGAAUGGAAGAAAGUGUAUGGAACAUUGGGUAGCUAUUUCUUUCUUUUUUUAUUAUUUAUUUUUUUUUAUUGGAUAUUUUCUUUAUUUACAUUUCAAAUAUUUCCUUUCCAGGUCUCCAUUUUGGAAACCCAUUCUCCCGUCCUUUUCCCCCUGCCUCUAUGCUCCCCCACCCACCCACCCACUCCUGUCCUCCUGCACUAGCAUUACCCUACACUGGGACAUUGAACACCCUCAGGCCCAAGGGCCUCACCUCCCACUGAUGUCCAAGAAGGCUAUAUCCUCUGCCACAUAUGUGGCCAGAACCAUGGGUCACUCCAUGUGUAUUCUUUGGUUGGUGAUCCAGUCCCCAGGAGCUCCCAGGGGUUUGGCUAUUGACAUUGUUGUUCCCUCCAUGGGGCUGCAAACCUCCUCACCUCCUCCAGUCUCUCCUCCACCUCCUUUAUCUAGGACUCCCAAGCUCAUCCAAUGGUUGGCUUCAAGCUUCUGCCUCUGUUUUUGUCAGGCUCUGGCAGAGCCUCUCAGAGCCAUGCCAGGCUUCUGUCAGCAAGCACUUCCAGGCAUCUACAAUAAUGUCCGGGUUUGGUGGCUGUAUAUGGGAUGGAUUCCCUGAUGAAUUCACACAUUCUGCACGGGGAAGAAACUCAGAAGGCUAAGGAACCUCAUGGUCCUUACAAGACUCAUGAGUACCCCUCCCACCCAUUGUAUUAACAGCCAACAAUUGAUGGAAAAGAGAAGACUUUGCAAUGGUGCUGUCUAGUUGUUGCAUAGGAAUUCUAAUGGUUUACCUUUUGUAAGCAAUCAUCUAUGUUGACAUGGGAUUUUUCAAUGAUGCAGCUGUCUGAAUCAGCUAUGUUCCUGUAAGCAAUACUUCACCUGUGCUUCUAUAACUAACCAAGCUAGGCUUGAAUACAAUUGUUUCUUGGGUAUGGCACUAUUGCCUUAUCUGGGGUAAACAAUCAUUUGUUCAUACCUCAUCAUGAAAAGC